GGAAAACAUUUAAUAACGUUAGAGUGAGUGGACAAAAAUAAAUUAAUAAUUAAAAUAUUUAUGUUUCCCCAAAUUAAUUUCUAAGGAAAAAUCGAAUGCAUGCCGCAAGCGAUAAAACCUUUAUCCCAUAAAAUAUCGAGCCUCUCAGACUCUAUAAUAUAUGUAUGUAUUUACACUCGUCCAUACUCCCUAUAUAAAUUCAUGGGUCUACAUAGGGCUACUACGCUCGCGUCACGCCUUAAUGCGGUGCUACACUACGCCAUCAAGGUGGACAGACGGGUGUAUAAAUAUGUGCCCAUACCCCUUAUAUGAAUUAAACACUCAUAUAAGGCUACUACGCUUACGUCCAACGCUCACGUCACACCAUAAUGCGGCUAUAUGCUACGCCAUUAAGGUGGACAGACACAUAUGGCUAGCUAGCAAUUUUUAUACAUACUCUCUCAUAUAUACAUAUUUAUAUUCACCGAAAAUCCCAUUUUCGGUAACUCUCUCUCAGAGAAAUAAAAGCGUCAAAAUUAAUUGACGGCAAAAUGCUCCACGACAUUAAUUAUUCAAUCGUGAACUUAGCAUGCAUUUAUUUAAAACAAAAGUCCACUCACGAAUUAGGCCUAAGCCUGAUGUCAAUCUGGGGUCUCGUCUGCUCGAGCCUCUUCACGUCCUGUUCCAAAUAUAAUAUUAAUUUCCCAACCAAUAUCCAAUAUUUAAUCAAAAUAGGCAAAAUUACCCGAGAGCCAUAAUUACGCUCAUUAUUGCCUAACUUCGAUAUUCUUACAUCGGACGAUCCGAACUUAAAUAUCAUACUCCACAGUCGUAAAUACAACCUCUCCAAAAUACGACUUAAAUCCAACGGCCGGAUUCUACAUUAAUUACCCGCCAAAAAUACCACACUUCGGAAAUUCAUAAACCUAUCCAAAAACUCAUCCAAAAAUUCCAUAANNNNNNNNNNNNNNNNNNNNCAACCGGCGGCG
rnacentral:lncRNA from 1 species